rnacentral:rRNA from 1 species
ACGCUCGACACCUACGGGAGGCAGCAGUUGGGAAUAUUGGACAAUGGAGGAAACUCUGAUCCAGUGACGCCGCGUGAAGGAAGAAGGUCUUCGGAUUGUAAACUUAUUUUGUCAGGGAAGAAAAAUGACUGUACCUGAAGAAAAAGCACCGGCUAACUACGUGCCACAGCCGCGGUAAUCUGAGCGGGNUGGCAAGGC